AACGAACGCUGGCGGCGUGCUUAACACAUGCAAGUCGAACGCGAAAGGGACUUCGGGUCCUGAGUAAAGUGGCGCACGGGUGAGUAACGCGUAGAUAACCUGUCUUCAUGUCUGGAAUAAUACGCCGAAAGGGGUACUAAUACCGGAUAUUCUUGCUUUUCAUAAGUUAUGCAAGCAAAGGUGGCCUCUGCAUAUGCUACUGCAUGAAGAGGGGUCUGCGUACCAUUAGCUAGUAGGUGGGGUAAUGGCCUACCUAGGCGACGAUGGUUAGCGGGUCUGAGAGGAUGAUCCGCCACACUGGCACUGGAACACGGGCCAGACUCCUACGGGAGGCAGCAGUGAGGAAUAUUGCGCAAUGGGGGAAACCCUGACGCAGCGACGCCGCGUGAGUGAGGAAAGGCCUUCGGGUCGUAAAGCUCUGUCAAGAGGAAAGAAGUGUACAAUGGCUAAUACCUGUUGUAUUUGACGGUACCUCUAAAGGAAGCACCGGCUAACUCCGUGCCAGCAGCAGC
rnacentral:rRNA from 1 species